CGGCAGCACAGCAGUAGCAAUACUGUGGGUGGCGAGUGGCGGACGGGUGAGUAAUGCAUCGGGACCUACCUAGACGUGGGGGAUAACGUAGGGAAACUUACGCUAAUACCGCAUACGUCCUACGGGAGAAAGCAGGGGACCUUCGGGCCUUGCGCGGUUAGACGGACCGAUGUUCGAUUAGCUAGUUGGUAGGGUAAUGGCCUACCAAGGCGACGAUCGAUAGCUGGUCUGAGAGGAUGAUCAGCCACACUGGAACUGAGACACGGUCCAGACUCCUACGGGAGGCAGCAGUGGGGAAUAUUGGACAAUGGGCGCAAGCCUGAUCCAGCAAUGCCGCGUGUGUGAAGAAGGCCUUCGGGUUGUAAAGCACUUUUAUCAGGAGCGAAACGCUGUCGGCUAAUACCCGGCGGAACUGACGGUACCUGAGGAAUAAGCACCGGCUAACUUCGUGCCAGCAGCCGCGGUAAUACGAAGGGUGCAAGCGUUAAUCGGAAUUACUGGGCGUAAAGCGUGCGUAGGCGGUUUGUUAAGUCUGUUGUGAAAUCCCCGGGCUCAACCUGGGAAUGGCAAUGGAUACUGGCAAGCUAGAGUGUGAUAGAGGAUGGUGGAAUUCCCGGUGUAGCGGUGAAAUGCGUAGAGAUCGGGAGGAACAUCAGUGGCGAAGGCGGCCAUCUGGAUCAACACUGACGCUGAGGCACGAAAGCGUG
rnacentral:rRNA from 1 species